rnacentral:rRNA from 1 species
UACGUAGGGGGCAAGCGUUGUCCGGAUUUAUUGGGCGUAAAGGGUAUGUAGGUGGUCUCAUUUGUCUGGGGUGAAAGCCCUGAGCUUAACUCAAGAAGUGCCCCAGAAACGGUGAGACUAGAGUCCUGGAGAGGGUCGUGGAAUUCCCGGUGUAGCGGUGAAAUGCGUAGAGAUCGGGAGGAACACCAGCGGCGAAGGCGGCGACCUGGACAGGUACUGACACUCAACUACGAAAGCGUGGGGAGCAAACAGG